rnacentral:lncRNA from 10 species
UGAGAUGGAGUCUCGCUCUGUCACCCAGGCUGGCGUGCAGUGGUACCACUGAUACAGGAGUGCUGGGAAGGGAAGAAGGGGGUAGGGGAAGUGCUCCGUAGAGGAGGGCGUGGUCCCUGGCUAGGGCUUCACCCCCAGGGACCUAGAUGAGAACAGCCAUUUCCUGCCAAAUGUUGCAUUUCCCAAGACCACCCUGGCUUGCCACACCCCCCGUCCUGGGCAUAUAAAAGCCCGAGACCCUAGCGGGCAGACACCCAGGCAGCCAAACGUCGAGAGGAGCACUUCAGCGGAAAAAGAUACAAGCAGCUGCUCACGGAGAGGAUGUUGAGAGGAGCACACCAGCAGAAGAGCACACGGCAGGCACAGGCACCUGGCAGGACGAGGCUGAGUUUGGCCAGGGCAGUUAGUCGGAGGAAAGCUGUGGCCGCUGAGCAGCCCAACUCCAUGGGAAAAACCAUGGUGCCCUUCUGGCUCCUCCAUCGGCUGAGAGCUACUUCCACUCAAUAAAACUUUGCACUCAUUCUCCAAGCCCACGUGUGAUCUGAUUUCUCUGGUACACAAAGGCAAGAACCUGGGAUACAGAAAUCCCUCUGUCCUCGCAACAAGGUAGAGGGUGAAUUGAGCUGGUUAACACAAACCGCCUAUAGAUGGCAAACUAAGAGAGCACCUGGUAACAUAUGCCCACUGGGGCUUCAGCUGUAAAUUCACCUAUAGACACCGCCAUCGGGUGGGAGCCCGACAACCUGCCUGCCUGUAUGCUCCCCUAGAGGUUUGAGCAGCAGGGCACUGAAAAAGCGAGCCACAUCCCCCUGUUGCAUGCCCUGCGAGGGGGACAAGGUAAUUUUUCCCGUUUCACCUUCUUGGCUCACUGCAACCUCUGCCUCCUGGAUUCAAGCAGUUCUCCUGCCUCAGCCUCCCAAGUAGCUGAGAUUACAGGCAUGUGCCACCACACCUGGCAAAUUUUUGUAUUUUUAGCGGAGAUGGGGUUUUACUGCAUUGGCCAGGCUAGUCUCGAACUCCUGACCUCAAGUGACCUACCCACCUCGGCCUCCCAAAGUGCUGCUUUAAAGUUUUGAAACUACUGGACUAAAUCAGAGGUUCUCAACCAGAGGCAGUUUUGCCUCAUUCCCCUUGGGGACAUACGCUAGUGUCUGGAGAUAUUCUUGAUUGUCACAACUGUAGGAGGGUGCUACUGGCAUCUAGUGAGUGGAGGCCAGAGAUGCUGCAAAACAUCCUACAAUGCACAGGUCAGCUCCUUACAGCAAAGAAUUAUCCAGUCCUAAAUGUCAAUAGUGCCAAGGUUGAGACAACCUGGAUUGGAUAUUUCCCGGCUCCCACCCUUGUUCUCCUUAAGAACUUUGGUUCCUGCUUGCUUCUCUGACUAUUCCUACUUGAGACAAGAAGAAUGCAGCAUUUGAGUUCUUGCCUUGGACCAAAUCUGGGCACCAACCAGCUUGGCCGCUGCCCCAGCUGGGCUGGCUCCAGGCCCACCAGGAAGGGCACGUGGAUGGUCUCAUGCUUCCCCACUUCCCUUUAAUGCUUUGUUAACAUUUGAAUUACAACACUCACUACAGAAACUACAGCAAGUUGUAAACAUGUCCCCCCACCCCAAGGGGCCAGGGCCAUACUUUAUUCAUCUCUGUUUUUUCCACAGCACCAAGCUCUGUGCAGUUGAACUGGGUCAUGGAUGUAGAGAAUAUAAAUGCCCGUUAAAGCAAGAGCUCUUGUGUUUCUGUUCCUGUGGAGUGCAGCUGAAAUGACCGCUACUGCUCCUUCACAGUAUAUUUACAUGAGCUUCCUGUGGACAUCAGCACCAUUUAAAAUUAAGGGCCUCAUUCUCUCAUCCAGGCUGGACUGCAGUGGCGUGAUCUCAGCUCACUGCAACUUCUGCCUCCCGAGCUCAAGUGAUCCUUCCACCUCGGCCUCCCCAGUACCCAAGACUACAGGCACACACCACCACGCCUGGCUAAUUUUUGUAUUUUUUGUAGAGAUGGGGUUGCAUCAUGUUGCCCAGGCUGGUCUUGAACUCCUAAGCUCAAGCAGUCUGCCCUGCCUUGGCCUCCCAAAGUGCUGGGAUUACAGGUGUGAGCCACUGUGCCCGGCCAAAGUUAUAAGUGGAUUUUUGACUGCACGGGGGUUUGGCAUCCGUAUUGUUUAGGAGUCAACUGUAUAUUCUUACUUUGCCCAUGUCUGAGUAGGAAAAAGGAAGGGAGGUUAAUUGAUUGCUUGUGUUAGAUGAAAUACGCGUGAAUCCUUUAUGAGAUUUAUAAGAACAUCAACAAACAGUAACUUGGGCAAAGAAUUCCAAAGACAUUUCUUUAGUCCUCUUUCAAUAAGCACAUUUUCUGACAUUAGGUAGUAAUAAAAGACAGUGCUCAUAUCGAGGCUUACUACAUGCUUUUGGAAUUGCAGGAUUUUGUUAUUUAAAUUUAGACUGUGAUUCUCUGAGUAACUGUAUAUAUUGCUUUACCCCAAAUCCACUCAAAUCCUCUGAGCAGCAGUCCUUCGGGUCUAAGUGCCACCUUCACGAGACACCCCGCACACAGGUGCCGCCAGCAGUGUGGCUGACCCUGCUAGCUCUCCACCCACGGUCCACUCUCCACUUCAACCUUAUUAACAGAAACUUGAUUGCUUCCAAAUGGCAAUCAACUCAGCCAAAGAUCUACAUUUCCCAGGCUCCCAUGUAGCAAGGGACAGCUAUGUCAUACAGUUCUGCCCGAUGAGAUAAAACCAGACAUAUUCUAGGGACCUCUGAGAAAAUUCUGCUUUCCUGAUUUCUGCUGCCCCUUCUUCCUUGAAGUUUCAUUUCACUUCUUCUAGGCUGGAACACAGAUGUGGGGCUGGAAGUGGAGCAGCCCCUUUUAGCCAUGAGGCCCAAAGCCACAUGCUAAGGAUGGUGAAGCAGGGGAUAGAAAGAGCCUGUGUCUUUGCUGACUUCCUUAAGCCACGGCACCAGCCUGGGCCUGCCCUACUCUGGACAUCUAAAUGUGUAAGGAGAAAUAAACUUCAUUCGUUUUAUUACCACUGUUCUUGAGUUUUCAAUACAGGCAGCUGAAUGCGCCCCUAAGGGAUAGAUACCUAGUAAACCACAAGGGAAAAGACAUCCCAGAGUAAUGGGGAGAAGAUAAGCUGAGCCUGCCAAUGGGGUGGAGCACCAGAUAUCCUGUCUUCUAUUUCCAUUUCAAGUUUGUUCUUGUAACCCAAAGAAUACCAGUAAACUUCUUUUAGAGAAUUGUUAUGGAAAUCGGGUGAUAAAAUCUCUGUCUUCUUUUAAAAUAGCAGGAGCUAAGAAUCAAGUCAGUCUAGAGGUGUUCGUUGCCAUGUGGAGAGAUCCUUCCCAAGAAGAAAGAUGCUACAAAGUGUCCUGGAAAUCCUCUUUGCCCAUCCAGAUCCACCCUCCCUAGCCUGCUCUGUACCUCAGGAAGCUGCUUUUCAUGGUUCACAUAAACCAGGCUCCUGUACCCUCCAGAUAGGUCCAUCCUAUGGGUGGUACCAGCAGGAGACCAGAGAGAUGAAGGAGGGAAAAAAAGAACAUUAGGGGUUGAAUUGUAUCACCCCAAAAUUCAUAUGGUGAAGUAUAACCCCUUCGGAAUGUAACCUUAUUGGAAAUGUCAGAGGCACGUGAACCAGAGCAACUCCAUCUUGAAUAGGGGCUGGGUAAAAUGAGGCUGAGACCUAUUGGGCUGCAUUCCCAGACGGUUAAGGCAUUCCAAGUCACAGGAUGAGAUAGGAGGUUGGCACAACAUAUAGGUCAUAAAGACCUUGCUGAUGAAACAGUUGCAGUAAAGAAGCCAGUCAAAGCGCACCAAAACCAAGAUGGCGACAAGAGUGACCUCUGGGCAUCCUCACUGCUACACUCCCAGCAGCACCAUGACAGUUUACAAAUGCCAUGGCAACAUCAGAAAGUUACCCUAGAUCAUCUAAACAUGGGAGGCAUGAAUAAUCCACCCCUUGCUUAGCAUAUACUCAAGAAAUAACCAUAAAAAUGGGCAGCCAGCAGCCCUCGGGGCUGCUCUGUUUAUGGAGUAGGCAUUCUUUUAUUCCUGCACUUUCCUAAUAAACUUGCUUUCACUUUACGGACUUGCCCUGAAUUUUUUCUUGCACAAGAUCCAAGAACUCUCUUGGGGUCUGGAUCAGGACCCCUUUCCCAUAACAUACCCUCCAGAUCAGUCCAGCUAACGAGAGACCAGCAGGAGAUCAGAG